GUUGGGUACAACGAACGGGAUGCUAGCAAGGCCCUUGCGUCCUUAAAACCACGAAAAAUCAUGGAGGCUUACUGUUUGACAGCCUUAGGUCCCCAACUCGAAGAUCCUAUUCGAAAGACGCUGAGAAAGACGGAUGUGAACCGCGAGACAGCACACCGCGAUGCCAUCUUUAUACCUACAGACGGUGCCAAAGAGAAAAUCUUGGCUUACUUGAAGAAGAAAGAAACCAAAAUCCUCAAAAAUGGGAUCCGAGCAAGAGUUUUUGACACCUGCGAUCCCUCUAUACAUUUUGUUUCAUCCUUUGCUGUGCUGAACGACGGUAAAUACGUCAUAACCCAUAAGAAAGAGGCUGACCACCAUUGGAGUGACUUUGUCCGACAAGCCGGUUUGAAAGAGGAGGAAAAUGUUGAUAUCUGGCCAUUUCGCCAUGCACCAACCGGAGACCUCGCUUUCGUUUUUGAGAAGCUAGGAAAUGAAGAUCCAUCCAAACCACAGGACGAAUUUGCCGCAGCAACGCUGGUUAAUAUGUCAAGUAUUUUAGAGGGGUAAUAUGAUUUGCCUCUAAAAGCAUGUGUUUGGGAUAUCAAUACAUCAAUGAUGAGAACAUCAACAUCAUUUUUCGUUAAAUCUGUCUUGUAACAUCGAUAUGCUUCAGCCCUAACUUGACAAUGUGCGUUAAUUUCUGAUUCUGCUGCUCUGUCUGCUCGGAGUUGCUUUUUGAAAUAAAUAGCAUCAAUAUAUAAUCUCUACUCAGAGAACAAGAACUAUAUUUAUAUGAUCAACAACCACCUUGGCUGUUUUUGUUUUUGAUAUACGCCUUUAUGCUGUUGAUUUUGUUUAAUUUUAUUCAGAUACAUGAAGGAUGCAUGCAUGGAUUAAUACAAUGUUUUUGGCUGGGAUACAUAUUUCAUUUCACAAGUAAAACUCAACACUGGAUGUGCUUAUAAACUAUAGUAAUUAUUUCCCUUUUUUUUCCUUUGCAAGAAUGAGACAUAGCUGACCAUUUUUGCCCUAAAUUUAAUGAAGUAAACAGUUAGGCUUU